UCUAACAUAGUUCGCUAAUGACGGUACCUCAAGAAGAAGCACCGGCUAACUACGUGCCAGCAGCCGCGGUAAUACGUAGGGUGCGAGCGUUAAUCGGAAUUACUGGGCGUAAAGCGUGCGCAGGCGGUUUGACAAGUCUGAUGUGAAAGCCCCGGGCUCAACCUGGGAACUGCGUUGGAAACUGUCAGGCUAGAGUGUGUCAGAGGGAGGUAGAAUUCCACGUGUAGCAGUGAAAUGCGUAGAGAUGUGGAGGAAUACCGAUGGCGAAGGCAGCCUCCUGGGAUAACACUGACGCUCAUGCACGAAAGCGUGGGGAGCAAACAGGAUUAGAUACCCUGGUAGUCCACGCCCUAAACGAUGUCUACUAGUUGUUGGAGGAGUGAAAUCCUUUAGUAACGCAGCUAACGCGUGAAGUAGACCGCCUGG
rnacentral:rRNA from 1 species